CCCUGGCAAGCAUCAGGGGGACAAUGGUUAAUCACCAACCAUUAACAGAAUUUGUCAUUCCCAAGCCUUGGUUGUAUGGAGAAGACUGUGGGGAAGAUACUCCAGGAUACCCAGGCAGGCACUGAGCUGUGGAUGGAACCCAAGAGAACAAGUUCCCGUGGCAGAACCUUAUGAAAAACGCCAUUUUUAGUGGCUCC